CAUAAAUCACUGGCCUUCGGAAAGUGUCGUCUGUGGUGAAGUAUUAAGUGCCAGUCCUCUCUGAAAACCUCAAAAGCUAACGUGAAUCGCUGUCCGUAUAUUCUGAAGCCUUGAGAUAUUACAUAAAUCACUGACUUCCGGGAGGUGCACUCGUACAUUGUCUUGUGUGAAGGAAUGAGCGCUUAUCCUCACGUGCGCCCUCUGAAAACCUCCAAAGCUACCUUCAAAAGCUGGCUGUGUAUUCUGGGGAUGAAAACAUUGAAGGCGCACUCAUACAAGGUGAAGAAUUAAGCACACAUCCUCACACGCCAAGAUGAAUGGUUCGCUGUGUACUCUGGGGAUGGAUGCAGCUCGCGUCAAGGUGUUCUCUUUCCAGAAUAACCUUGAGUCUUCAUAAUUAAUGAGCCCCGGCUGGGAGAGAUUCAGCUGCCCCACUGCCCUUUACACUCCCGCCGCCAGCCACUCUGUUGUGAGCACCGUGGACGUGGGCACUGCUGCCAGCGUAGGUGUGGCUGUUGCUUCCUGACUAAACUAAAGUGUUUUUCUGAAACACGACAUAGUAAACACCUAAGAAAACCUGAACACAUCGAAGGCAAACGAAAGAAAAUUAAGUUGACGGGAAAUUUUGCGGCAUGUGGAAGCUUUAAAUGCCGUGAAUGAUCCCUGGCCAGUGCGCAUCGCUGUGUUUACAUCCCCACGCCACCAUGCGAUCUCACCUCUUCGUCCCCCUGGUCAACCCCUUCGUACCCAAACCCCACGGAGUGUACGUUGUCCUCCAGGAACCACAACCGAGAGUCCGUGACAUCUCCGCAGGGCGCUCAAGGACUAAGCAGAGGGAGGUGUUCCACGCGCCCUUCUUCACCACCCGGUUCUGUACGGCCUGGACGGGGCUCUUCUGCCCGCUCUGCCUCGCCUGCCUCUCCUGCUUCCGGAGGGACAAGGACUCACUCAAGGUCUCCCUCAAAACCAUCGCACAGAACUUCAGGGACCGCGGCGUCACUUUCAGCUACAUGCACGUCUACUCGCUUUGGAUCUUCGACUGCACUGACGUCAUGGCUCUCUACUCUGCCCACGUCUCCUUCGUGUUCCUCCUCUCGUGGGUGAUCCUGCAUGACCAGUUUGUCGGCGUCAGGACCUCGUCGAGAAGACACACACCUGGGCGUCUCCAGGAUCCUUCUGACACACAGGGAGGUGUAUCACUCCGCCAGCAGCAAACUUGACGUCAUGGGCCAGGGCAUGCAGCGGCGUGCAGUGCGUGGGUAUGGUGACUGUGUGGCCUCUGAUGUAGAGGUGUGUGAGCUGCUGGACGAGAGAAGAGCAAACUAAAAGUAAACAUGGGAUUGCUGCCGCCUCAGGACACUAGGAGCAUUGCGGAAGCGCUGAGGAAGACAUCACAACCCUUGACACAGCGAACACAACUCUGUACUGAGGCUGGCACUGGCUUCUCCCAACACCUCACGUGGUCAUUGCAACAAAAGGAGGUUAAUUCACCUUGAACAACACACAAUGGUCUCCUGAUUCUGCAAGUGUUCCCGUGAGUGCUUCUCGCACACGCCGCCCCACCACCGGCAUGGACUGGAUGGAAUCGCACUGAGCUAUAACUUCGUUCACAACAGCAGAAAUAGGAACAACAAAAGCAACAACAACAAAAGUAACAACAACAACAACAGCAGCUAUAACUAUUUCUACCGUAACCACCACCACCACCACAGCCACCAGGGUGACCAUCUCCACCACCACAACAAUAACAACAACUACAACAACAACGACGACGACGACGACGACGACGACGACGACGACAACAACAACAACAACAACAACAACAACAACAACAACAACGAAACCACCACCACUAACAACAAGAACAACAACAACAACUACAACUACUACUACUACUACUACUAUUACUACUACUACUACUACUACUACUACCACCACCACCACCACUAGAGCUACUGCUACUCUGGAGGUUCAUAAAAUCAACAUGUCGAGAAUGUUUCUGGACACCACAGUCAGUUUUCCCUCCGCCUCCUCCUCUCGAGUGCCCACGUGCCCGGGUAUGCCCAAGGUGAAAUAUCGGACAAAAUAGACAGAACGUCGUCGGAGGAGCCACAAGUAAUACUGCACAUGUCCCACAGGCAGGGAAUGACAGGGGAGAAGGAAAACUGUCUACGAAACACAAAGAAGAUAACAUUUCAUAGCGAGUCCAAUGAGUAUGACUCAAGUAACGUGAUCUUUAGUUGAUAAGACGCGGGGUGGCACACGACCCCCCCUGAAACAUUUUGAUACGCUGCAAUGAGAUCAGGAGAUGAACAUAAAUAAGACAGCUGACGCCGCCACCAUCUGGAAAUCGGGAGUGAUCCGGACAUCCACGCCGGGAACCCAACGCCUACCAGGUCACCAGGACCUGGUAGGUCACCAGGACACGACUGAGUGGUGAAGCGAGGCGGAGAAAAGGAACUGUGGAGAGGGAGAGGGCCACCCAGGCGCCUCGUCACCGUAGCGAGAUUUCCCUGUGGCUUUCCCGAAAUGGUGUCCUUUAUUCGUAAGUUACCUUGACCACCACCACUAGCACCACCACCACCACCACCAUCACCACCACCACCACUACCACCACUACCACCACCACCACCACCACCACCACCACCACCUAACAGGCCUUCCAUUACCUGGUCCACGUCGCCUUUUUGGUCUCAAUCUUUCCCGCAAGUGUGUCUCGUUUUUACUGGACUGGCUCCUAAAAUUCAUUUGAUUUUCUCUUCAAGAAUUCUCCAGUGUAAAAUUUUCUGCUUUUUCCUUCCGUCACGUUCAUAUCCGAGAAAUCUAAUCCACGCCAAAGCUUAGACAAAUCUUUCCACGAUAUAGCUUUAAAGGCAAUGGUAGAUUUAAAGUUUAUGAAUCGCAUCGCCUUGCAUGACGUUGUUUACAAUCAUAUGUAAGUCACAGUUCAUGAAUUCCAGAGCCAUGAUCAGUUUUAAACAAUGUGGUAUAAAAAUGUAGAAAAUCUUACGGUAUCAGUACACCACAAUUGCAGCUGCAUGAUCAACUAUCGUGUCACUGGAAGAACCGUUUAAAGGUCAAAGUACUGUAAUAAAUUGAUCUCGUAUAUGGAAAACUGAAAUGUUAAAACCUUCGUACAAAAAAUACCUCAAAUGUCUUCCGUAUAUUUCAAAGAAAACAUGCAAAAAGACAGACACACACACAAAACAAAAAACAAAUCACUCAAAAAAAUCUUGCGUGUAUUAGUGAGCGCAACACUUAUUAUUGCACUUUCAUCGGUGCCGCGCAAUGCUGAGUGAUGGAGGUAAGGCGGCUUGAGGAUAUUGUGUAUGUACUGUACCAACUACCACCACGGAGAUGGUAGAGUGUGCGUGCGUGCGUGCGUGCGUGCGUUGUGUGUGUGUGUGUGUGUGUGUGUGUGUGUGUGUGUGUGUGUGUGUGUGUGUGUGUGUGUGUGUGUGUACGCGCGUGCUCCGAACGUGCUAACUAUAUCAGUGUAACCAUGAACGAGGCACAGUUGAAGUGGAUGUGGCAGGUUAUUCCACUGCUGACCACCACCUGCCGCACACAGAUGGCCGCGACACUGGGGCAGACUGUGCACCGUAAGCUCCCUCAGGUAAAUAUCCCCACGAACAUUCCACCUGCUACAUCUCUACAAAACGAUUUCCCCACACCCCGUAGGAUUAUGUUAUGUUAUAUUAUGUUAGGUUGCGGGUAUUUAUCAUGGGUAAAAUCACCUCAGGCGAUUUCGUGGAGGAAUUUUCGUGGGUGAAAUUUACAUGUAAGCAAGGCAAACUGCACUGCUUGUCCGGGGGUGGGUGAGGUGAUGGUCAGUAAAUGUGCGGCAGGACAGCUGGUAUAGGGAAGCCGCUUGGCCUUGCAUUCCUAACCAAGAUACGUGAAAUUAAAGGGCGACAGGAAACUAUCACUCUGUGCCUCCGUCUGUCCAUGAGCUUACUCGUGGAGCGCAGCAAGGGGCGUCCAUCACCACGGUGCUUGGAAAAAAUGAAAAAAAAAAUGUCACCAGAAAAAUGGCACAUGAAUACAUGUCACAUUAAAGAAAUGACAUGGGAAUAUUUCACUGAUGAAAAUGAUAUAUAAUGAAAUGUCACGGAAAAAAAUGCGGUUUUUCCUGUCUCUUUUAC